AUGCCAUCUGCAGAAGACCAGAGUACAACUGAUGCAGGUGCCAAGCCGGGCACGAGUGAUGAAGGUGAACGUCCGGAGCAGACUGCGCCUUUACCCGCAGUGGAAAUCUCCAUCUUAAAUCUGCGCACUUCCAAACUCCCAAUGAACAUCGGUGUCCCCUACAGCCCCAACAAGAGGAUUGUCAACAAAUCUACGCCCGUCACCACUGACAGCACGCCCCGCCUUAUUGGCAAGACUGAUGAUUCUGCAGCGGCUGAUCCAGAAGAUAUGUUUCUUGAUCUUUCACCGUUGGAUUCUAUCCCGCAAGUUGUUCGCGGUCCGGCCAGUAGGCAUGAGAGGCACCCAAUGGCCUUCACCCCACCGAUCUUCAGCCUUGGUGUCAGUCAAGAUCAACCAGUGGCUCAAGAUCCUAUGCUAGUUGCCUUUGCUUUUCCUGGAGGCGUGCCCGCAAUGAUGGCGCAGCCAAUGGUUGAGGGCAGGAAGGCUGUCAAGUUCGCAGAGUCGAUCAUCCAAGCCACCCCUGAGGAGAUUUCACCGUCACUUGAUGAAGCAUACCGCAGGAUCGAGGAGGCAACAUUGCAGAGGAGCUCCUCACGAGGGUAG
rnacentral:rRNA from 1 species